AGAAUUUUUAAAUAAAAAAUUAUUAAAAAUAUUUUAAUGGGGGUUAAAGUAUUUAGAUAAAAAAAAUUAAAAAUUUUAUAGUGAAGUAGUAUUGUAAAAGAAUUAUUAAAUAAAAUGAAAAAAAAAAUUAAUUAAAAGUAAUUUUAAUUUAGUGUAUCUUGUGUAUCAGAGUUUAUUAAAAAAUAUUUUUUUGUUAAGAAUUCUCGAAUUUAAAAGAGAUAAUUAAUUAUAAAAGUUAUUGUAGUAAAAAUAUUUUAAAUAAUUAAUUUGAAAUGAAAUGUUAAAUCGUUUUUAAAGAUAUCUAGUUUUUUUAGAAAAAAAUUUAAUUUUAAAUUUAUAUAUUAUUUUUAUUUAUUAAUUAAUUAAUAAAUAAUUAUUUUAAGUUUUAUAUAUUAAGGGAUAAUCUUUAAUUUAAAUAAAUAUAAUAAAAUAAUGAUGAUAUAAUUUGAAAAUUUUAUAAUUUAUAUUGUUAAUAAAAUUUAAUUUAUUAUAAAUAAUUUCAUUUAAUAAUAAAAUUUAAUAAUAAAAUUUAUUUUUAUAUAAAAAAAUAAUUUUAAAUAAAAUAAAAUUAGUUAUAAUGAUAAAAUUAGUAUAUAAUUUAAUUUCAAUAAAAUUUGUUAUUUAAAUUAAUUAAAAGGAAUUCGGCAAAAAUUUAUAUUCACUUGUUUAACAAAAACAUGUCUUUUUGAAAAUAAUUUAAAGUCUAGCCUGCCCACUGAUUUUAAAAUUAAAGGGCUGCAGUAUUUUGACUGUACAAAGGUAGCAUAAUCAUUAGUCAUUUAAUUGGUGACUUGUAUGAAAGGUUGGAUGAAAUAUAGACUGUCUUUUAUUUAAAUUAUAAAAUUUAAUUUUUCAAUUAAAAAGUUGAAAUAUAUUAAAAAGACGAGAAGACCCUAUAGAGUUUUAUAUUUAAUAUUAUUAAUUUUAUUUAUAAAAUUAAUAAAUUUAAAUAUAUUAAAUAUUUCAUUGGGGUGAUGAAAAAAUAAAAUUAACUUUUUUUUUUAUUAAACAUAAAUAAAUGAGUAAAUGAUCCAGUUUUAUUGAUUAUAAGAAAAAAUUACCUUAGGGAUAACAGCGUAAUUUUUUUUUUUAGUUCAAAUAAGAAAAAGAGUUUGCGACCUCGAUGUUGGAUUAAGAUAAAAUUUAAAUGUAGAAGUUUAAAAUUUUGAUCUGUUCGAUCAUUAAAAUCUUACAUGAUCUGAGUUCAAACCGGUGUAAGCCAGGUUGGUUUCUAUCUUUUAAAAAAUAAAAUAUUUUAGUACGAAAGGAUCAAAUAUUUAAAUUAAAUUUUUUUUUCUUUGAAUUUUAUUAAAAAAAAAAAAAUAAAU
rnacentral:rRNA from 1 species